ACGAACGCUGGCGGCGUGUUUAAGGCAUGCAAGUCGAAUGGGUUUAGACCCAUGGCAAACGGGUGCGUAACACAUUGGUAACCUACCUCGAGGUGGGGGAUAACCUGAGGAAACUCGGGCUAAUACCCCAUGUGGUUCCGGUUCUUCGCGAAUCGGAAAGAAAGAUUUAUCACCUUGAGAGGGGCCUAUGUCCCAUCAGCUAGUUGGUAAGGUAAAAGCUUACCAAGGCUACGACGGGUAGCGGGUGUGAGAGCACGACCCGCCUCACUGGGACUGAGACACUGCCCAGACUCCUACGGGAGGCUGCAGUCGAGAAUCUUCCCCAAUGGACGCAAGUCUGAGGGAGCGACGCCGCGUGAUUGAAGAAGCCCUUUGGGGUGUAAAAAUCUUUUCUCAGGGAAAAAUUUGCGAUGGUACCUGAGGAAUAAGGGGCUGCAAACUUCGU
rnacentral:rRNA from 1 species